ensembl:lncRNA
CAUGGUAAUGAUUAAGUUGUUGCUGAACAGUACUUGCAUAGAGUCAAGGAUUUUUCUACUUCUCACGCUGACCUCACAACAAGGAGCUGAGUGGGCACAAGAAGCUGGGAGGGGACAUAGCCAGGGCAGCUUUCCUAAACUGGACAAAGAUGUAUCCCAUACUAUGUGGCAUCAUAAUGAAUGAUGGGGAAAAUGAGAAGAGGAGAAAAUAAACUAAACCCUGGCAAUUGCAGGAAUGUGGUGAUGUUCCGGAAGCUUCUCACCCUGUUUUCUCAAGAAAUGACCAGAGAACCCCAGGCCUAGUCACUGCCCUUCUGAGAUUUCAUCAGAUAAGCCUCCACAAACUGCUUUGAUUUUGACAAACAAUAUAAUAGUGUGAAAUUGUUAAGAUAUUCUGACUUUCUCAGCUUGAUGCUUUCAGCAGUGCAGCUCUUCAGAAUGCACAACUCACAUGCAAUUAUCAUUAGCUAAAUGCCCUUUUCAGUCUCCUGAGGUGAAAGACAUCAUAAAGCUAUGAACGAAGAUGCAGAAAAGGAUAUGGAGAAACAGUUCUCCAUCCCAACAAAGUUCUUGCACUACAGAAGGCUUCAUUCUGCUUUGCUGAUUCACUGUGAGACACUGUUUUGUACUGACAAUAUUACAGAAAGGAGAGAGCAGAUCUUUCUUCAGGAAUACUCAAAUUCAUGAACAGUUUUUUGCAGGUUAGUAAAUAGCUGAACUGCUGCUAUUUUCUGCCAAACUACCAAAAUAAUUACAAGAUGCGUAAAGCAGCUGAUCCACUGCACCUGGUUUGAACUGUGGGAAAUUAAAGGUUUUAAAGUUUACUGCUGUAUUAUCACCAAUGUUUUUGAACAUUUAAAUCUCAAUACCCAAACAUCCAUUUUUAUGUCCACAUUUUUCUUAAUAUGUUGUGUAUUUUCUGUCUAAUGCUUGACUCUUAUUUUUUCUGACAUAUUUUAAUACAUAACAACUUAAACUUGUGAACCCUUUCAGCUUUUAUCCUGCCUAAAUUGUGUUUGUUUUUGGUUUUUUUUUUCCUUUCUAUGGCAACAAAAUAAUUCAUGGUUAUUUCCUCUGCAGUCAAAAUGGGAACGGUAUUCUGUGUGAGAUUGUAUGUAUAGUAUUCUUGGUACAAAAAAUCUGACAGUAGGGAGUUCAGACAAGA